AUUGAACGCUGGCGGAAUGCUUUACACAUGCAAGUCGAACGGCAGCACGGGGCAACCUGGUGUGAGUGGCGAACGGGUGAGUAAUACAUCGGAACGUGCCCAAUCGUGGGGGAUAACGUAGCGAAAGUUACGCUAAUACCGCAUACGAUCUACGGAUGAAAGCGGGGGAUCGCAAGACCUCGCGCGAAUGGAGCGGCCGAUGUCAGAUUAGGUAGUUGGUGGGGUAAAGGCUCACCAAGCCAACGAUCUGUAGCUGGUCUGAGAGGACGACCAGCCACACUGGGACUGAGACACGGCCCAGACUCCUACGGGAGGCAGCAGUGGGGAAUUUUGGACAAUGGGCGCAAGCCUGAUCCAGCCAUUCCGCGUGCAGGAUGAAGGCCUUCGGGUUGUAAACUGCUUUUGUACGGAACGAAACGGUUCUCUCUAACACAGGGGGCUAAUGACGGUACCGUAAGAAUAAGCACCGGCUAACUACGUGCCAGCAGCCGCGGUAACAC
rnacentral:rRNA from 1 species